rnacentral:rRNA from 1 species
UACGGAGGGUGCAAGCGUUAUCCGGAUUCACUGGGUUUAAAGGGUGCGUAGGUGGGCAGGUAAGUCAGUGGUGAAAUCCCCGAGCUUAACUUGGGAACUGCCGUUGAUACUAUCUGUCUUGAAUAUCGUGGAGGUUAGCGGAAUAUGUCAUGCAGCGGUGAAAUGCAUAGAGAUGACAUAGAACACCAAUUGCGAAGGCAGCUGGCUACACGGUAAUUGACACUGAGGCACGAAAGCGUGGGGAGCAAACAGG